CAUAGAUUUAUUUAUACCUCUCACACUCGUUUCCGAGCCCCUGGACUUCCAGGUUGAAGGAGGGAUUAUCAGGCCUGGUGAGCAGCUGUUGCUAAACCCUGAGUGCCCCAGCUGGGAUUUCUACCUUGGAAAUUCUAGCCUAACAGGGGCCUGGCUCUGAGAAUGCAGGGACUCUGUAGAAUAGUGGGGCAGGGAGAGCACUAGAAAAGGAGUCUUGCUUAAUAGAUUGUGUAGUCUAAGUCACCCAUGGGCCUCCAUUUUCCUGGCUACAGAGCAGGCAGGGUGGUUGUGGGCACCAGCUGGGAGAAAGUCCCAGGGAAACAUUCUUCAAGCUGCUAGGCAGAGGACUUACAGAAGGCACCAACUUCACGAUUACUACAACCCUUUCUCCUAUGCAGAAGGCAGUCGGGAGCAACAAGGCAUGCCCUUCCUACUUUUCUUCUGAGGGUGGAAGAAUAGUGUGGUCCUGAAGGCAGGGGGAGGAUGGCAGGGGACCAGAGGGUCCUGUGUCCUUUAGGAAAGUGGGUGAUGACUCCAGCCUCAGGCAGCACGACUCCCUGAGGGGCCAGCUCUGGGCUACCACUUUGCCCACCUCUCUAGUCAGAGAAGAUUGGAAACCCCUCUGCACGGUGCCAGUUCUCUCUGUGAGACAGUCACAAAGACUUGUCCCUGGGACGGGGAUGCAAACAAACAGUCCAAAGUCCAGGGUCUGGCAUGUGAGGAGAGCAGACCUCACUAUGGGCCAGUCCCUUGCAUCUGCCUCGAGCUACAAUGUCUUGAUUUCACUGUUAUCUGCUUCCAAACAUGACCAUUCCGAUGCCAUGUUGGUAGAGCUUUGUCUCCUGGUCCUGUUUUCAUUUCUUUCAGACACAAUGAAGACGAAUGAGUGUAGCCUGUGGCUCUUCCAAUCUCCCAAGCCCUCUAUUUCCGAAGUCUUAUGUCUGGGUGGACGGGAAGACCGGGGCCAUCAUCCAAUCCAGUCUGGGUGGACCGGAAGACCGGGGCCAUCAUCCAAUCCAGUCUGGGUGGACCGGAAGACCAGGGCCAUCAUCCAAUCCAAUCUGUGUGGACGGGAAGACCGGGCUGUCAUCCAAUCCAGUGGCCAGCUUUGCAGCCCGCCUCGGCUCACAGGGUUCCUACGCAUAAUGCGACCAUCUUCUGCCAAGCUAUACGGAAGUACAGACCUACUGGCAUAAAGAGAAGGAAGCUGAUCUUCGUGCAGAGCCCGGGGCAAAGUGGACCAGCCUCUCUCUAUUGAAUUACUCACUUCUCAGCAUUAGGCACUACAGGAGAAUCCUAGUUAUGUACCUACUUAACAGAGGGCUGACGGAGGAGCACGAAUUGAAGGCCAGACUAGUCUAUGCGGGUAGUUCCAGAUCCAUCUGAAUGACG
rnacentral:sRNA from 1 species